UUGCCAUGAUGAGGAAAAAUAUGAUUUGAAAGCAUUGUGCUUUAUGAGUCAGCGAGCGACUAUAAUGUCGACCUGAGCGGUUAACUGAGCAA
rfam:Capsella rubella cultivar Monte Gargano unplaced genomic scaffold scaffold_4, whole genome shotgun sequence.